GGUCACCCUACACAAGUGUGAGUAUGCAGUGGGAAUGCUCUCAAAGGACUGCUAUUACUGACUUAAGUUCAGGCCCCCAGGAGGAGUCUGCUACCCAAGGAAGAGAUGGUGGCAUAACUGACCCCUGAAAUAGCACAAAACAGGGCCUGAACUCAGGUCUUGUGUUGCCGUACUUUUUACUGCUUAACAACAAAGGAAUCUUCAUGUAUACCUCAGCCAUGGAUUGAGGUACUUCACCGGUAUGUUUACAAUUUAUGAAGAAUCCCACCCCUUUUACAAAGCAUAUCAUUGUACGUGACAGUCAUAAAACUAAAGAUUGGAUGAACAACUUUUGAA